rnacentral:tRNA from 1 species
GGGCCUUUAGCUCAUCUGGGAGAGCGUCUGCCUUGCAAGCAGAGGGUGGCCGGUUCAAGUCCGGCAAGGUCCACCA